GAGAGGAAGGAGCGGUGGGAGGAGGAGGAGGGGUGCGGGAGAGAAGGGCUGAGGGAGAGGCGGAGGGAAACCGCACCCCUGCCUCUUUCCUGGGCCGAGGCCAGCCGGGGAGGAAAUGUUGAAAUGGGCGAAGUGCACAUCCGCCUCCAGGCCUAAGGGGUGUACGGGUCAGGCCGCACCGACCCCGCCCUUCCCAGCCCUUCCUGCCAGACCUCUGCCUCCGAUGGGCGAGCCCGGUUGCUGGGAGGCGGUUCACUAUGGAGCCUGGACCCUCCCCACAGUUCAGCCCGCCGGAGGCGUGUGCGCUUCCAGAUGAGAGCACUUGUUCACUGAAUGACCGCAGCCAUUGUUAAUGGGUGCGUGUGUACAGUUCUGGGCACAUACCAACAUGCACGGAUGCAUGUUAACCUGCUUUGUAUGGAAGAAACGGGGUCAGGAUAUCAUAAAAAGAAUUAAUGGGUAAUCAGUAUUCAUCAAAUGCCAAGAUCUAGUUCUGAGCACUUUGCAAAUAUUAAUUUAAUCACCACGAACCUCAGUAAAGUUUAUUACUAUUACUCGCAUUUUUCAGAUGAGGCGCCUAAGGCACAGAGAGGUUAAGUAGCCUGCCCAGGAUCACACAGCUACUAAGUACAGAAGUCAGAAUUUGAGCCUGACUCCAGAGCUCAUAAGGUUAACAACGAGGCCUCCCACUUUUAUAUGCGUAUUAUUCCAUGAAUUACUGUUUACACUAAGAAUAUGUUCUUUUCUGCAACCAAUGGAAGAUUCCUAGAAGAGGAACUACUGGCUAUGUGGCAUUGAGAUUUUUCUUUUUUCUUUUUUUUUCUGAGAUGGAGUCUAGCUCUGUCGCCCAGGCUGGAGUGCAGUGGCACGAUCUCAGCUCACUGCAACCUCCGCCUCCUGGGUUCAAGCGGUUCUCCUGCCUCAGCCUCCCAAAUAUCUGGGAUUACAGGCCUGCCACUAUGCCCAGCUGAUUUUUGUAUUUUAAGCAGAGAUAGGGUUUCACUGUGUUGGCCAGGCUGGUCUUGAACUCCUCACAUUGUGAUCCACCCGCCUCGGCCUCCCAAAGUUCUGGGAUUACAAGCGUGAGCCACCGCGCCUGGCCGUGUGUUUGAGAUUCCUAGAGACAUUAGUAAAACCCUCCAAAAGAGUGGGGACCUUACACCAGCCUGCCGGUUCAAGCUCCAUACUGGACCUCCACCUCCCCAACCCCCACCCCCACCCCACCAGAAAAGGACCCUCCAUCCCCUUCAGGUCAUAGAGUGAGGAAGAGGGAAGCUUCAACAGGCCCAGAUGGCCCUGGUAAUGGGCACGGUGACAUUUGGGCAGAGAACCCCAGGGCCCUGCAUCUGCAGACCUGGGACAGGCAGAGAAUGUCCAAUGGGGGUGCUAGUGGCAUUGCCUGGCCAUGACUCUGUCCAGCUGUGGCAUCAUGUCCCAUGGCCAAAGUGUCCAAGCAAGCCUGCUUCUGCCAUUGACCUAGGGAGGCCUCUUGACACCUGCUCAUUUUCCAAGCCUGUUCCUCCUGCAUCCUCAAGAUUCGGAGUGCCCUCCAAAAUAAGAUCUUUUUCUGUAGUUGUUACUAUGGGUUAAGAACCCUCCUGUCUGAUACAUACAACUGAUUACAAACUUUUAAUUUUUGCCAAUCUGAUAAGCAAAAAAAAAGAAAGUAGUUCAUGGAUUUAGUUUACAUUUCCUUUUUAACAGGGAGGUUGGGUAGAGACUUCUUGGUUUGCUCAUGCCUGUAAUCCUAGCACUUUGGGAGGCUAAGGUAGGAAGAUCGCUUGAACUCAGGAAUUCAAGCCAACCUGGGCAACAUAGCAAGACCUCACCUCCACUAAAGGGAAAAAACAAUCCAUGUUCCUUUUCUUCCAACCCAACAGAUCUGUGGCUGGGCAGCAGCUGCUGAGCUCAACUACAAUUCCAGCCUGCUUUACAGUUAGGCUUGUCCACAGGACCAAGUUCUCAGUGACAGAGUAAGAGCAGGCCUGUGAUAGGAGCCUCUUCUGUACCUCGGCCUCCAAGAUGCCUAGAAUCUGGCUGUGGCAGUGCCCAAGGGGAGGCGAGCAGCAGGAGAGAAGGGUCCUGGGGUUUGGGGGGACCAGGAGGAGCAGAGCUGCUGCUCAGCUCAGAUCCAUAACCUGAGAAAGAAAGAGGGAUGGCACAUUUUAUGUGUUAACUUAAAUAUCUGGCUACAUCGCUCAGAUAUUUGAUUAGACACUAUUCUAGAUGUUUUUAUGAAGGUAUUGAUUAAUUGAUUGAUUGAUUGAGACAGUCUCACUCUGUUGCCCAGGCUGGAGUGCGGUGGCACAAUCUUGGCUCACUGCAACCUCCACCUCCCAGGUUCAAGUGAUUCUCGUGCCUCAGCCUCCCAAGUAGCUGGCAUUACAGGCAUGUGCCACCAUGCCUGGCUAAUUUUUGUAUUUUUAGUAGAGAUGGGGUUUCACCAUGUUGGCCAGGCUGGUCUCCUGACCUGAAGUGAUCUGCCCACCUUGGCUUCCCAAAGUGCUGGGAUUACAGGCCUGAGCUACCACAACCGGUGAAAGUACUUUUUAAGAUAAGAUUAGCAUUUAAAUCAGAAGAUUUUGAGUAAAGCAGAUUAUUCUCCACAAUGUGGGCAGAUCUCAUCCCAUCAGUUGAAGACCUUAAGAGAAAAGAGACUGACCUGCUCUGAGCAAGGAGGAAUUCUGCUGGCCAACUGCUUGUGAACUCCAACUUGUAAUAUCAGUCUCCAGCCUACCGGCUUACUCUGCAGAUUUUGGAUUUGCCAAGCCUCCACAACCGCAGAAGCCAAUUCCUUAAAAUAAAUCCCUUACAACAGUUCCCUAAAAUAAAUUCUUCAAAAUUCCUUAAAAUAAAUGUGUGUGCAUGUGUGUCUGUGUAUAUAUAUAGCCUAUGUAAUGUCUAAUAUAGAUCUAUAAUAUAUAUUAGAUAAAUAUACACAUACUUAUCAUAUAUAUAUGUGUGUGUGUGUGUGUGUGUGUUUCUCCUAUUGGUUCUGUUCUCUGGAGAACCUAAUACAGAAACAAAUCUGUUUAUUCUUCUAGCCUCUGUAUCAUCAGGCCUCUUUGUUAGAGCAGGUGAGCUUUACCCUAACUAAUUCAGAGGUUGAUUCGUUUUCAUGCAUGUAGAUACUUGUCAUUUAGCUUCUAUUAUCUGCCUGUAUUUUAAGGUUCUUUGUCUUAAAAUGUUAUGACUCCAGGAAUGUUAUAUAUUAAGUAUAUUAACCUUUUGACUAUUAUAUAUCUUGCAAACAUCUUGUAAUCAGUCACUUGUCUCUUUAUUUUAUUUGGAGCGGCUUUCAACCUAGAGCAGUGGUCCCCAAACCCGGGGCUGCAGACUAUUCCCUGUCUGUGGUUUGUUAAGAACCAGGCUACAUAGCAGAAGAUGAGUAGCAGGCGCGGGAGCAUGACCACCUGAGCUCCGCCUCCUGUCAGACCAGCAGCGACAUUAGAUUCUCAUAGGAGCACAAACCCUACUGUGAACUGUGCGUAUGAGGGAUCUAGGUUGCACAUUCCUUAAAAGACUCUUAAUGCCUGAUGAUCUGAGGUGGAACAGGUUCACCCUGAAACCAUCCCCCGCUCAGCCUGUGUCUGUGGAAAAAUUGUCUUCCAUGAAACUGGUCCCUGGUGCCAAAAAGGCUGGGGACUGCUGACCUACAAGAUAUAUUAGUUAUGACUCUUGGUGCAUACUCUUGACAGAAAUCCCACUCAACCUAGUAUAAUGCAGAGGACAGUUCACGGAGCAACUCAAAUAAUUGCCACUUUUACAAUAUUGAAGCUUCCUACGGGAAACAUAAUACAUCUCUCAAUUUAUGUCCUUUAAUACGAUUAAACAUUUUUCUUCAUGUAGGUUCUCCAGAAUUUUGGUUAUGCCUAUGCCUAGAUUAUUUAUGAUUGUUGUUGGUAUUGCAAAUGUCCUCUCCUAUUGAUUAUUUAAUGGUAUCUAUGGAAAGUAUUGAUUUUUGUGUAUUUGCUCUGUGCCCACUUGCCAUCUAACUGGUUGUUAUAUUUUAUUGAACCUUUCAAAGGAUAUGAAUUAUGCUGAUUUUAAUGUC